GACGGCACUCAAAAUAUCCAUUCUCUAAACGGACUUGCAGAUGUUUUUGCCCAGUUGUAGGCUAUAUGACCACGGCAACACCAAGAGCUGAAAGGAUUAGAUAUAUUGUGUUGCGCCCUUGUGCUGGGACCUCCCCAAAAUGGACUUCUGCUAAGUGGUAACCUGGUUAUUUUGAGCGCGUCACUUCGUCUUGUCUCCAAGUUAUAGGUUCCCAUUGCCAAGGUUGGGCGCAGCACUUAACUGAUAUUGUUAUAGGCUACUUAUUGAUGGAGUAGACAUCGAUAGAAAUUGGCACACUAUUGACAACACAACGAAAGAAGGUUGGACACAUUCCUGUGGUUUCUUUCUUAUCCGAAUGAUACAUUUAUUUGGCCUACCUAAUAAUGUCAUAAAAUUCGCAUAUUAUGGCCUAGUAGGCAUAGUGGCCGUUAUUAAGAAACAGCUUAGAAUUGAUGUAAGCUUGGCACUAGGCAAUAUUAAGAUUUUAGAUGAUUAUUAUAUUGGCCCGUCAUUUCUCCUGCGCUCCUACUUCUUUUGGUGGUGUGGUGCGACUCCACGUGGCAACAAAUUGAGGAUUAUUGUAGUAACAAGAACGAAUAAACCCAAAGAGCACGCCCUACUCUCUGUGCGUAAUGACGCACUUGCGCAGGAGCAAUGUCACAGUCGCAACACCGAGACAGCGCCACCGAUUUAUUCUAAACUGAAUAAUAAUUGUUAUAAACCACAGAUACGGAUGUUCAUCCUUAUUCCAACAACGAUUUGCAUAGCAUUUCCAAUCCCUUGUGAGGGUCGUGUAGUGGGGCCCGUGAGCGGCGGAUGAGGCUGGGGUCCAGCUUCAGCGGCGCCCUGCAGCCUCCCAAUGGUCUCCCCCACUAUGAAGGCACUGGUGGACGCUGUGUGGGCGGUGUGGAGCAUCGGUGCCUCCGUCUAUGACUACAUCCACACCAGCGCCAUGGAGGAGCGCAUCCACACGCUGGAGACCGUCAUCACCAUUCACCAGUGUGUCAUCGCAGCGCUGACCGCUGGAGUGGUGGUGCUCUUCACCUACAUACUGUUGAGGAAGCACUGAGGGGGAGUGAGGAAGGAGAAGCCACGCAGGGCCCAGGAGGCUAGUUUUGAGGACAACACAGGAUUACCAGAGUGAUCAGAAGCAUUGAGAGUGUGGGUCUGGAAAGUCAUCCAGAGCCCUGGAGAGGCCUACCGGCCUACAUGGAUUAGAUUGAGGAGGACUUGAUUAAUAAGGGAUUUUGGCUACUAGAAAAGUUUUUGCUAUUUGGCCUUUAUUUCGGCUGCCAAUUGUACCAUUCUACUGCGGGGGUGUUGCUGGACACUGUGUCUCAGGGAGUCAAUGGUUUCACUCACUUUGCACCCAUGGAAGAUGAAGACAUGGGCAGAGAUGGGCAAAAGAUGCAUGAAAAUGUAUCUUUUUACAAAUACAAGUUACUUUAAAGACCAAUGUAUCAAACUAAAAUACAAAAUACUUUUGUGAAGAAUUGUAUUUAGAAUGAUUAAUUCUUUAAUACAAAAUACAUUUGCAAGUACAUGCCUUCACUACAACAAUAUUCUUAGUAACAGAAACAAAAAAACAUUUAACUUGCUAUGACUGUAAUAUGUGGUUGUUUAUCUACCUUGGUUGAAUGCACUGACUAAGUCACUGUGGAUAAAUGUCUGCUAAAUGACCUAAAUGUAAAAAUGUAAUAAUUGCAAAGCACACUUGGUAUUAUUAUUGGCCUUAUUUUGUGGGCGGAGCUCAUCAAUAAUACCCAGCAUGCUUUGCAGGUGUACAUUUGUACAUUUACAUGUUGUUCAUUCAGCAGACACUCAUAUCACACCAUAGUGCCGUGACUUCUGAUACCAAUGCAGGGUGAAAGGGGGCCUCCAAAUGUUGAACCGCUAUAAAAUAAAAAGGAUAUAGAAAAUGUAUUUUGAAAAUAUAAAUGACAGGUCUCAAGUAUGUUACAAACUACAUUGGAUUGUAGUUCAGGCCAGUGAAAUACAAAUGACAAAAUACUCAAAAGCAAAUGAAAUAUGAAUUUCAAUGACAUGUAACAGGAAUACUGCCCAUCUCUGGAUGUGGGGAUGCUAAAACCACAGCGACGACUCAACCUGCAGACUGUAAUCUAAUAACACACUAAAGGGAUGAUAAUUAUCAUUAGGUUUGACUGCCUUAAUAUGCCUCAAGUGGUUUCACUCCCCAGAUGGAAUAACAUUAUUAGUUAGUUAGGUUUUCAUGUUGGCUCUAAUUGCUUAUCCCGCCUGUAUGAUGCAUUGGAAAACUGGAAACUCCCUCUUCAAAACCAUGAUUGUACUAGGUGCCAGCCCAACAGUCUAUACAGGUCUAUAAUUGGAAGUCUUGGUCAUGAAGAUGAAAGUGUUCACUUAGAGGUUAACUAUUAUAUCACCCAGUAAGGGAGAGUGGAAUAUCAUGGGACGGGCUGAAUGUAUUCUCAAAAGGCCUUAUUUGUUGUAGAAAACUGGCCUCAAGGUUCUCCUGUGAAUUCCUCUGUAGGAGAAGGCGUUUCUGUGAAGCACUCAAAGGUCAAUACACUGGUCGCCAUGAAUGCCAUUUAGUACAGUACAUGUUCUUUGAUACAACUCCUUUAAAGCGUGUUUAUUUGAUUGCUAAAAUAAGUCAUUGUAGAUAGUCUUAUAAUGCAAGACUUUGUAGUGGCAUUUCAUGGUGUUAGUUGAACAUGGCUAUAGCUGUGAAGGUUACGUCACUGGAAAGAGUAUUUAGAAGCAUCCUUACCUGUAAAAUAUGAAUCAAUCUGAAUGUUUUGGUACAUUGUUUAUAAAUGUUUCAGUAAUGACCACUCUUAACAUUUAAAAGGGUAUAAAACACAUUGUAGGACUUAAAAUAUUUAUGGCAGUUUAAGUGCAAUGUUAUGUUGUGUAAUUCAUUUAAAUUGUUCACUUGCUACAAUAUGACGAAUACACAAUGUUUGCCCUAUCAUCUUGUUCAGAUUGCCAAAAUGGGCCUCAAUGGAAUGUUUCAGGUAAAUCAAAUGUGACUUACAGGUGACAGACGGCCUCCAUGGCAACAAAACAUUUAAUCACCUCCUGGAUCAUUGUGUGAAUGUACAGUGCCUUCAGAAAGUAUUCAGACCCCUUGACUUUUUCCACAUUUUGUUAAGUUACAGCCUUAUUUUAAAAUGGAUUAAAUAAAAACAUUUCCUCAGCAAUCUACUCACAAUACCCAAUAAUGACAAAGCAAAAACAAGUUCAUAGAUUUUUUUGCUACUAAUAAAAAAAAAAGAUAUGUAAAUAUGGUUUCUGUUUUUCAUGACUAUUUGCUAUGAGACUCGAAAUUGAGCUCAGGGGCCUCCCGGGUGGCGCAGUGUUCUAAGGCACUGCAUCGCAGUGCUAGCUGUGCCACCAGAGACUCCGGGUUCGAGCCCAGGCUCUGUCGCAUCCGGCUGCGACCGGGAGGUCCAUGAGGCGACGCACAAUUGGCCUAGCGUCGUCCGGGUUAGGGAGGCUUUGGCCGGUAGGGAUAUCCUUCUCUCAUCGCGCACUAGUGACUCCUGUGGCGGGCUGGGCGCAGUGCACGCUGACCAGGUCGCUAGGUGUACGGUGUUUCCUCCGACACAGUGGUGCGGCUGGGUUGGUUAAGAAGCAGUGCGGCUUCUCGACCUUCGUCUCUCCCAAGCCUGUACGGGAGUUGUAGCGAUGAGACAAGACAGUAACUACUAACAAUUGGAUAUCACGAAAUUGGGGAGAAAAAGGGGUUACAAAUAAUAAAGAAAACAAAUUGAGUUCAGGUGCAUCCUGUUUCCAUUGAUAAUCCUUGAUGUUUCUACAACUUGAUUGGAGUCCACCUGUGGGGCCUCCCGGGUGGACAUGAUUUGGAAAGGCACACACCUGUCUAAAUGAGAUCCCACAGUUGACAGUGGACAUGAUUUAGAAAGGCACACACCUGUCUAAAUGAGAUCCCACAGUUGACAGUGCAUGUCAGACCUAGCCAUGAGCUCAAAAGAAUUGUUCGUAGAGCUCCGAGACAGGAUUGUAUCGAGGCACAGAUCUGGGGAAGGGUACCAAAACAUUUCUGCAGCAUAGAAGUUCAAGGUAACACAGUCGCCUCAAUCAUUCUUAAAUGGAUGAAGUUUGGAACCACCAUGACUCUUCCUAGAGCUGACCGUCCGGCAAAACUGAGCAAUCAGGGGAGAAGGGUCUUGGUCAGGGGGGUGACCAAGUACCCGAUGGUCACUCUGACAGAGCUUCAGAGUUCCCCUGUGGAGGAACAGCACCACCAUCAGGCCUUUAUGGUAGAGUGGCCAGACGGAAGCCGCCACUCAGUAAAAAAACUCGCUUGGAGUUUUCCAAAUGGCACCCAAAAACUCUCAGACCAUGAGAAACAAAAUUUUCCGGUCUGAAUGCCAAGCGUCACGUCUGGAGGAAACCUGGCAUCUAAACGAGGAUCCUACGGUGAAGCAUGUUGGUGGCAGCAUCAUGCUGUGGGGAUGUUUUUCAGUGGCAGGGACUGGGAGACUAGUCAGGAUCAAGGCAAAGAUUAACAGAGCAAAGUACAGAGAGAUACUUGAUGAAAACCUGCUCCAGAGUGCUCAGGACCUCAGACUGGGGUGAUGGUUCACCUUCCAACAGGACGAAGACUCUAAGCACACAGCCAAGACAACGCAGGAGUGGCUUCGGGACAAGUCUCUGAAUGUCAUUGAGUAGCCAGAACCCGAUCGAACAUCUCUGGAGAUACCUGAAAAUAGCUGUGCAGCAAUGCUCCCAAUCCAACCUGACAGAGCUUGAGAGGAUCCUCAGAGAAGAAUGGGAGAAACUCCCCAAAUACAGGUGUGCCAAGCUUGUAGCGUCAUAUCAAAGAAGACGAGGCAGUAAUCGCUGCCAAUCGUUCAACAAUGUACUGAGUAAAGGGUCUGAAUAUUUAUGUAAAUGACAUUUCACUUUUAUUUUGAAUAAAAUAGCAACAAUUUCUAAAAACCUGUUUUUGAUUUGUCAUUAUGGGGUAGGGUGUAGAUUGAGGGGGUAAAACUAUUUACAUUUUAGAAUAAGGCUGUAACCUAACAAAAUGUGGAAAAAAUCAAGGGGCCUGAAUAGUUUCCAAAGGCACUUUAAUGGUACGAAGGAUCAGGAGAGUGCAAUGUUCUGACUGCAGAUAAGUCUUGUGUAGAGCAAAAUCUGUUUACUCUGUAAUCAAGAAAAGGUUUCACAAAGCACUGGUUGGUGAUUGGACAUACUGCCAUCCCUACGCUCCAAUCUGAGUAAGCAAGUCAGGGGUCGUUCAGGGACAGGGUCAUAAUACUCACAUGUAUGUAAGUAGUCAUGUGACGCACUGGUUAUUAAAACAGAAUAAUGAUAAUCCCAUGUGCUACAAUGUGAUAUUGACCUACAGACAGAACACUGUAGAAACACCCUGACCAAGGAGACUAUUCAUGGUUUUAUUUCAAGUUAACAGUGACAAAGUUAAUGUUUUGUAAAUACAUAAUGUCAUUCUUACUGAUGUGUACAUUAACAUAACUAUCUUCAUAAUGAAAUUAUUCAAGUUGUAAACUUGCAUGAAACACCACGUUGUAUACAAAAUGCAAGGAAAUGUAAAGUACAAAUUUAACUUGUCAUAUAAAAACAGAACAGCUUGUUAACCCUGUCUCUAUGUAGUUGCCCUUAACCACAGAUCUACCCUAACCUUAACCAUUAGGUUGAUCAAAUAUAUCUGACUCUGUAUCAGUGGUUAGAUCAACUUCUACCUACUCAUCCAAACUGCAGUAAGCAGUUUCCGGGUCAGGUGUGUUCUAGAUGUGUCCAGUCUGCAGCAGGGUGUACUGGGCAGUGAAUCUCUCCACACUCUCCCCCUCCAGCAUCUUCAUGGCUCUCCAGUGGAUCAUCCCACAGUUUUCUGGCUGGCCGCUGGGCCCAAGCUCCUCUCGGAUGUACUCCAGCCACAGAUCUGGAGGGGAAAAGCCAUAUACAGUCCUGAGUGACCAUCUCAACUUACUUUAUCCCAGAAAACUACAUGGAAGUAAAGGUUUAUAUGCAUGCCAUACUAAAACACCUCAAUCAGCUAAUCAAAGUUGCUGUUGAAUCAGGUGUGUUAAUGUUGGGCUGGAAUAAAAGCCUGCAAACCCUGUAGUUCCAA